AUUGAACGCUGGCGGCAGGCCUAACACAUGCAAGUCGGGCGAGCGGCAGACGGGUGAGAAACGUAUGGGGAUCUGCCUGAUGGAGGGGGAUAACUACGGGAAACGGUAGCUAAUACCGCAUACCAGCAGAUGAACACAUAUGGGAUUAGCUUGUAGGUGAGGUAACGGCUCACUAAGGCGACGAUCCACAGCUGGUCUGAGAGGCUGAUCGGCCACACUGGGACUGAGACACGGCCCAGACUCCUACGGGAGGCAGCAGUGGGGAAUCUUGCGCAAUGGGCGAAAGCCUGAUGCAGCCAUGCCGCGUGUAUGAAGAAGGCCUUCGGAUUGUAAAGUACUUUCAUUCGGGAGGCGUUACCGACUGAGGAAGCCCCGGCUAACUCCGUGCCAGCAGCCGCGGUAAUUC
rnacentral:rRNA from 1 species